AGGGGGAGCGCUGGAUCCUGGGCUGUGUCCCCCAGCUCACUGGGCUCUGGGGCCUGCGCUGCUGGAAUCGCACUCCGGGGGCCGUGCAUCCCCCU
rnacentral:pre_miRNA from 1 species